CCUACGGGAGGCAGCAGUGAGGAAUAUUGGUCAAUGGGCGAAAGCCUGAACCAGCCAAGUCGCGUGAGGGAUGAAGGCCCUACGGUUUUUAACCUUCGUUUAUAGAGAAGUAAGGUGAGGCACGUAUUCCUUUUUGUAUGUACUUUAUGUGUAAGGGUCGGCUAACUCCGUGCCAGCAGCCGCGGUAAUCCGGAGGGUGCGAGCGUUAUUCGGAUUUAUUGGGUGUGAAGGGAGCGUAGGCGGGUUGUUAAGUCAGUGGUGAAAGUUUGCGGCUCAACCUUAAAAUUGCCAUUGAGACUGGCAGACUGGAGUAUAGGUGAGGUAGGCGGAAUGCGUGGUGUAGAGGUGAAAUGCAUAGAUAUCACGAAGAACAUCGAUGGCGAAGGCAGCUUACUAAAAUGUAACUGACACUGAGGCACGAAAGCGUGGGUAUCAAACAGGAUUAGAUACCCUGGUAGUC
rnacentral:rRNA from 1 species